ACUGCAGAGGACAUUUGCACAUGUGUAGCCAACUGCAUGCUAAUGAUAUUGUGGGCAACUGUAAGCAUGUAUUGCAAUGGACUUGCACUUGCCCUGGGCAGCAUGAUUUGUUUUUCAAGCAUGUGUGCUGUAGCGUGUGAUGUGUUGUGUAAACUGUUUGCAUUUCUCUAGUUGCUGCAACACUUAUGUUUUGCAAGGAAUGUCUUAGCUCAAUAAAUGAUGAAGAAUGCAGCAACAUGCAAUAUGCAUUGCGAAUUGCAGAAUUCCGUGAGCUAACAGAUGUUUGAAUGUUACUUGUACCUUUGGGAUAUUCUUGAAGGUUUGCUUGGUUUAAUGCAAAGUAGCUUUCAUAUACAUUUAAUGCUGAUUAGCAUUGUUGUGAACAAUAAAGGUCAAUGUUUUGCAUUGAACCUGGAUGUCAUACAGUUGUUUACAACCUAAACAUGGUUUCGUGGGGCAGACCUGUUUCGUCAUUUGAUGGUUGAUAUUUGUAAAUGUGCACAACUGGGACAAGCUGAAGACUUGCAUAUGCUAAGCGUGAAGUGAAGCACAUAAACCUGCUGAAUUUAAGCAUAUAAGUAAGUGUG
rnacentral:rRNA from 1 species